CAUCCCGACUUACCAACCCGAUGCAAACUACGAAUACCGAAGAAUGUUAUCACGGGAGACACACGGCGGGUGCUAACGUCCGUCGUGAAGAGGGAAACAACCCAGACCGCCAGCUAAGGUCCCAAAGUCAUGGUUAAGUGGGAAACGAUGUGGGAAGGCACAGACAGCCAGGAUGUUGGCUUAGAAGCAGCCAUCAUUUAAAGAAAGCGUAAUAGCUCACUGGUCGAGUCGGCCUGCGCGGAAGAUGUAACGGGGCUAAACCAUGCACCGAAGCUGCGGCAGCGACGCUAUGCGUUGUUGGGUAGGGGAGCGUUCUGUAAGCCUGCGAAGGUGGCCUGUGAGGGUUGCUGGAGGUAUCAGAAGUGCGAAUGCUGACAUAAGUAACGAUAAAGCGGGUGAAAAGCCCGCUCGCCGGAAGACCAAGGGUUCCUGUCCAACGUUAAUCGGGGCAGGGUGAGUCGACCCCUAAGGCGAGGCCGAAAGGCGUAGUCGAUGGGAAACAGGUUAAUAUUCCUGUACUUGGUGUUACUGCGAAGGGGGGACGGAGAAGGCUAUGUUAGCCGGGCGACGGUUGUCCCGGUUUAAGCAUGUAGGCGGAGGUUCCAGGUAAAUCCGGUACCUUUUAACGCUGAGGUGUGAUGACGAGGCACUACGGUGCUGAAGUAACAAAUGCCCUGCUUCCAGGAAAAGCCUCUAAGCAUCAGGUAACAUUAAAUCGUACCCCAAACCGACACAGGUGGUCAGGUAGAGAAUACCAAGGCGCUUGAGAGAACUCGGGUGAAGGAACUAGGCAAAAUGGUGCCGUAACUUCGGGAGAAGGCACGCUGGUGUGUAGGUGAAGUCCCUGCGGACGGAGCUGAGACCAGUCGAAGAUACCAGCUGGCUGCAACUGUUUAUUAAAAACACAGCACUGUGCAAACACGAAAGUGGACGUAUACGGUGUGACGCCUGCCCGGUGCCGGAAGGUUAAUUGAUGGGGUUAUCCGUAAGGAGAAGCUCUUGAUCGAAGCCCCGGUAAACGGCGGCCGUAACUAUAACGGUCCUAAGGUAGCGAAAUUCCUUGUCGGGUAAGUUCCGACCUGCACGAAUGGCGUAAUGAUGGCCAGGCUGUCUCCACCCGAGACUCAGUGAAAUUGAACUCGCUGUGAAGAUGCAGUGUACCCGCGGCAAGACGGAAAGACCCCGUGAACCUUUACUAUAGCUUGACACUGAACAUUGAGCCUUGAUGUGUAGGAUAGGUGGGAGGCUUUGAAGCGUGGACGCCAGUCUGCGUGGAGCCAACCUUGAAAUACCACCCUUUAAUGUUUGAUGUUCUAACGUAGGCCCCUGACCGGGGUUGCGGACAGUGUCUGGUGGGUAGUUUGACUGGGGCGGUCUCCUCCCAAAGAGUAACGGAGGAGCACGAAGGUUAGCUAAUCCUGGUCGGACAUCAGGAGGUUAGUGCAAUGGCAUAAGCUAGCUUGACUGCGAGCGUGACGGCGCGAGCAGGUGCGAAAGCAGGUCAUAGUGAUCCGGUGGUUCUGAAUGGAAGGGCCAUCGCUCAACGGAUAAAAGGUACUCCGGGGAUAACAGGCUGAUACCGCCCAAGAGUUCAUAUCGACGGCGGUGUUUGGCACCUCGAUGUCGGCUCAUCACAUCCUGGGGCUGAAGUAGGUCCCAAGGGUAUGGCUGUUCGCCAUUUAAAGUGGUACGCGAGCUGGGUUUAGAACGUCGUGAGACAGUUCGGUCCCUAUCUGCCGUGGGCGCUGGAGAAUUGAGGGGGGCUGCUCCUAGUACGAGAGGACCGGAGUGGACGCAUCACUGGUGUUCGGGUUGUCAUGCCAAUGGCACUGCCCGGUAGCUAAAUGCGGAAGAGAUAAGUGCUGAAAGCAUCUAAGCACGAAACUUGCCCCGAGAUGAGUUCUCCCUGAGACUUUAAGUCUCCUGAAGGAACGUUGAAGACGACGACGUUGAUAGGCCGGGUGUGUAAGCGCAGCGAUGCGUUGAGCUAACCGGUACUAAUGAACCGUGAGGCUUAACCUUACAACGCCGAAG
rnacentral:rRNA from 1 species